rnacentral:rRNA from 1 species
UACGUAGGGACCAAGCGUUGUUCGGAUUUACUGGGCGUAAAGGGCGCGUAGGCGGCGUGACAAGUCACUUGUGAAAUCUCCGGACUUAACCCGGAGCGGUCAAGUGAUACUGUCGUGCUAGAGUGCGGAAGGGGCUACUGGAAUUCUCGGUGUAGCGGUGAAAUGCGCAGAUAUCAGGAGGAACACCUAUUGCGAAGGCAGCUCGCUGGGACGUAAACUGACGCUGGAGACGCGAAAAGCGUGGGGGAGCGAAACAGG